CCUCUCCAUGAAGAACUUUCACUGUGAUGUCACAAUUAGGAUAGCAACAACUGCUGGUUGCCGAGAAUAUGUGAGAGAUGAAGAAAGGCAGCCAGAGAAGAUCCUUGUAGUUCCUUAUCUCUUGGCUUCCUGCCACCAUCACUUGUGUAGCUGGCAGUACCAUUGCCACACCUGCCGGCAUCACCACAGCCAAUAAGCCUAUUGCAGCUGGGUCCACCAAUACAGCCACCACCACAGGCAAUUCACAAGCCACAACCGCAAGAGCUACCAAGGUCAGGACAGCAGCCAACCCUACUGCCACAACCACCACUAUCAGUCCGUCCAGAGCUGCCAUUAUUACCACAGAAAUCACCAGAAGGACAAACAAAGCCUCAGCAGGCAGUGAAUGAUAAAAGCUCCCAUAC